CAGCUUUACGCCUAGGGUUUCGCGCCGCUGAGCGGCGCUGCACUCCACCACCGCCCGCGCGCAGUCGGCUCCCGGCCACCAGCCCCUCCACCUGCAAUCUCCAGGUAUCAGCCGCCUGCGAUUUCCGGCCGUGAAACGCCGCCAGAGCCCCGCUGCGCUAGACACGGCUGUCGAGCAGGCAAGGUUGCCGGAGCAACUCCAGCCCUCGACGCCAUCGAGCGCAGGCUGGCGUCCAUCUCACCGUCUGACCAGAUCCGCCGCAACCUCAGCCCUGGGGAAACUACCGCCCGCCGUCCGCCUCCAUCGCGCUCCUCCACUCAUCGUUGGGCCGUCGAGCAAGCAGAGGUUGCCGGAGAAACCUCAGCCCCUGACCCCAGCGAGAGAGAUAGCAGUGUUGGCGCGAAGCAUGGUCAGCGAACUUGCCCAGGUGGUCUGUGCACGCCAAGCCCGGCGGUGCUCGCCGGAGGUGCGGCGGUGGCCACCAGAA
rnacentral:lncRNA from 1 species